UUUGUUCUCUGUCAAAAAGAGUCUCUUAGGGUUUGUUUCCCUCUCUGUCUUUUUUCCCCCCCAGGGGAUUUUUAAAAAGUAGCCCAAUGCUAUCAUUUCCUUGAAACUUAAUGUCCUUUCCUGUGGAUCAAAAUCCUUUUUCAUACCUCUGGAGAAGUAAACCUCUCCAACCACUUUCAUACAAACUCCGCCCUCAAUGUGCAGGGAAGUUGUUCCCCAUCAAAGCCCCUAAAAGACUUGGUCUUCCUGCUCAUUGGAGCCCGAGUGACCUGGCCCAGGAGCUAUCCCGUCUGGCACCGUCAUAUACACAGGAGCCUCAAAUCUGUGCUCUGUGUUCUUAGGAUACAUUUCAACUUCUUUAUCACUCUUGGUCACCAUGAAUUUCCUUCAGGUCAUGACCUCCCCAGGAUUGUCUAAAUGUAUAGUCAUCACUGAGUGCUUAAGAAGUCAUAGUCAAAAGGCCAAGUAGUUUGAGUAUUUGUCAUUUUUUUUCACGGAUCUUUACAUACUAUUUAAAAAAUAGCAAUAAGUCACUCUUUAUUACUGAUAUUGCACUUCUUAAAUUUGCGUACUAAAGACUAACAGGAACAGACAUUUCUCAUGAGGAAUGAAUACUUGAAAUGUACUUGGCAGUAAGCAUAUGAGAAAACAGUCAAUGACAUCAUAGAUGCAUUGCAUCUGGUCACAAAUACCAGUGACAUAACUUACAAUAACCUUUUGCUUAUUGAAAAUUGCCCAGACUCCUGCUGUACUGUUCCUUUGGAAAAGCUGCUUGGUAUGUAGUGUUUAAUUCAGUAUUUUAAAGCCACCCUUUUGUAGGCCCGUUCCACUUUAGUGAAAGUUACAACGCCUUGUGUGUGUUAGUUUAAGAAAAAAAGCAAAGUUUAUCGCCUGCCUCUCUCUCUUUCAGUAUCAGAAUAUUAGUAUUUUUAGGUGAAUAAAAUAGCAUAUUUUAGAGAUCUGUAGAGGGUAAGCUUGAAUGUGUUGUUAAUUUCAUGUGCCGUCAGGGUGAAUAGAUAUUAAAAGGAAUAAUUUGAUGAAAACAUCCAUGCUUUAGUAUUAUAAUUAUUUUAACAAUGAUGAAGUUUUCUCCUUCUCUGCCACUUUUUUUGGUAUUAUGGAAUAUUCACAAUUUGAGAGAAAUCACUCCAUCACUAGAGUCAUCUUAUCUACAACCCCUAAGCGAAUUGCUUUUCCCACUAUCUAAUUUAUCCAAAGAACAUCUCCCUGGUCAGUAUUACAAGCCAUUUUUAUUAUUUUCCUACACUUGUUUAUUAAGCAUUUUGCACGUCAUGUUUUGUCACCAGGAAAGGAAAAGUCACAUCCAAUUUUUUCUUUCUUUUUUUCCUCUCCUGCUCUAUUAUAAGAUUGAAAGCCUAAAGAACGAGAGUUCAAAUCUUGCUUGAAAUAUAGACACAUUAUUCUCAACCAGAGAAAUUCUGGAUUUACGUUUCAUUUUCUUGGGGAAAAAUUACUUUAAUUCAAUUUUGGAAAAACCCACACAUUUUACAUGUGUGACCCAUAAAUUUGUCCCUUGAUUCCAUUUAGGUGUUUGGCAAGAGUUCACAGAUUUUGCCAACAACUCUCAAAGAACUGCUUUAAUGGUCUAAUUGUUACAAUUUGGUAAUUAGCUAGAGUCGCAUUGCAAAGUGUGACCGAUAAGAUUUGGCAGAGUUAGCCAGUAUUUCAGAAAAUGGACUAGAGUCAUAGAGAUGCUACUAUUGUUCUUGUCUUCACGUUUAUACUUUUACUUUGGACUCCUGAGACGUACGGCUUUUGUGACUCUGCCACAACCUACUAUUCCCAACACAUCCCUGACAGCUGCAAGCAUCUUUGGGGAAGUGUCCCCUCAAGUUCCUGUUUCCAGUCAUUAAUGCAAAAGAAAGAAAAACGCUAGAGGCACUGAGAACCAUCCAACGCUUCAGCUGGCUUCAGCAAUUGCCACUUGCGCAAGACCCGUGUUUGUGAAAGCAACCCAAGAAUCUUUGAACAGGAUGUAAUCAACCUCCGAUCUGCUGAGAAACACUGCAAAAAUGACUUCCCCUGCCAAAAAUAAUAAUGUCGUUUAUGAGCAGCCCUUCCAUGUCUAAGGAAGAAGUAGCCCCACGUGUGAGUUUCUGCUGGCUUCAGAGGAGCAGGCGAAGAAAAGGGCAAAUCCUACCAACCCCAGCCUAAAAUACACGGCAUCAGAACGCACGGCAAGCUGUGGCUCAUUCCAAAGGUGCUGGCAAUACCCAGGAAGACUCCUAUCCGCAAAAAUCCAAAGGAGUGAACCUGAAGACUGAAACUGCAGCCGCUGUGUGGUGACCCGGAGGGGACAAGGGAGAGGACAAAGGCCCAUGAGUCUUUUCAUCCUGCAUGUGCAAUUUUAACCAUGAUGGAAGGAGAGACUCUCUGGUCCAAAAAACUCAACAUAUUUCUUAUCCACAGACACAGGUAAGUGGAAACAACCGUUCUUCCGUGUCGGCAUUAGUCAUUGUGAUCUGUUUUUAACUUGUUGCAGAGUCAAAUAACACUGGUACGUGUCAUAAAAUGUCUCCAAAUAUUCCUGGGCUUGUUCAUUUGCUUCAAGCACAUAAAGAGGCAAAUGUUAAAGCAAUGGGUUCUGAUCAAGAAACAGCUGGAAAUGGCAGCUGCCUGAUACGGAGCAAUCAAGAACGGAAGGUUUAUUUUGGACGAGAGGUGUUGUCCAACUGUGAGACUGAGUGAUUGCAGCUGAGAAUUAAGUGCAAACACAAUCAAUAGUGGCUCCAGGUCUGAACUCAUUGAGAACCUGUCUCGUGUCACGUCUUUUUCUGCUGCCACAGUCACACUACAUCCGUAGACGCCGAUACUAUCCGUGGAGGAGGUAAAAAGUUCUUCAGUUUAUUCUUAUUCUUAAGGACAGCUUCUGAGCCGUCAUGAUUUGAAAUUACAAUGACCAAAAGGCUCCUUCAGAAAAAAAAGAAACAAUAUAUUCCAAAGUCAAAUUGUACAACGGGCAGGUAAGAAUGCUUCAACUUUAAAUGGUCUUGGGUGGGCAUUGCCUCAAGAGCCAGCCAAGUCGUUCUCUGCUUUCUGGAGUUGUAUGACUAUGGGCGAAGUGAUUUCAUUCUUCCCGCUCCCUAACAGUGUUGUUAUUUUAUCGACACAGACCGUAGAAGCAGCUCAAUAAAUAUUUUCUGUUGAACAAUCUA